CUACGGGAGGCAGCAGUGGGGAAUAUUGGACAAUGGGGGAAACCCUGAUCCAGCAAUGCCGCGUGUGUGAAGAAGGCCUGCGGGUUGUAAAGCACUUUCGGUUGGGAGGACUGCUUCUAGCACUAAUAUUGUUGGAAGUUGACGUUACCUUCAGAAGAAGCACCGGCUAACUCCGUGCCAGCAGCCGCGGUAAUACGGAGGGUGCACGCGUUAAUCGGAAUUACUGGGCGUAAAGCGCGCGUAGGCGGCUAGAUCAGUCGGGUGUGAAAGCCCCGGGCUUAACCUGGGAACUGCAUCCGAUACUGUCUAGCUUGAGUACAGGAGAGGAGUGUGGAAUUCCACAUGUAGCGGUGAAAUGCGUAGAUAUGUGGAGGAACACCAAUGGCGAAGGCAGCUCUCUGGCCUGAUACUGACGCUGAGGUGCGAAAGCGUGGGGAGCAAACAGGAUUAGAUACCCGUGUAGUC
rnacentral:rRNA from 1 species